AUGUACUGCGCCUUCCCUUCUAGAAAAACCAUCCCUUAUCUUCCCUUGCACCAGAUAUAUGCAGAUAUACCAGCCAUGGGUCAUCAAACCAAGUAUGCCGUGCAGAAGAUUGUCGUCUCGCUCCAUUCGGCGCAAGACAUCUUGGAGAAUAUCCUGGACAGAGCUUCCGAGGUCAAAGCAGUAAGGAUUUCUGACCGCUCGAGGCUCGAUCCCAAGGAUGGACUGGGAUUCCUGGAAUUGGAGGCUCAUCACAUCCAUGAUCUGGUCAAGGAGGUGGAGAUCAGGCUCUCGGAGUGCAGGGAGAAGGAAAGGAAGGAGAGAUGCAGGAUGGACAGUGUGAUAUCAAGCCUAAAGAAGGAGAACCAGGAUAUUAGGAGCAUGCUGGAAGUUGCUGUAACCGAGAAGGAGGCGGCGGAGAAUAGCCUUCGUGUGUUGAAGGGCGAUGGCGAUCAGAGAAGAAGUUCAAUCCUGCAGAUCGCUGAGAAGGGGUUGCAGAAGGUUGGCUUUGGCUUCAUCAUGGAGGUGAUAAGUGGAGAAACAGAAGGAGAUGAGAUGAGUAGCUCCAGUGCCAGUGCAGCAUCUAAUGGAAGAGAAACUAAACAGGAGGUUGACAGUCUGGCUUCAAUAGUUGGAAAGACACUGAAAAACCUGCAUCAUGAGAUCAAUGAUCUGAGACAGGUCUUAGACGAGUCCAGGUCAGACUGUGAUCAUUUCCAUCUCAUUGCUGCUGAACAGGCUCAGAAGAUAAUCAAACACGAGUCACACAUACAGGAUCUGAGAGAACGAGAAAUUUUCCUACUUCAGAGUGUGGAAGAGCUCAAUGUCGGGGUAAAAGAAGUUGAACAGGAAGCUGCACGAUGGAGAGAGGCAUGUGCGUUGGAGGUAGAAGCUGGAAAAGCUGCCAUUAAAGAACUAAACCAGGAGGUGACCUUGCUCAGAGAAGAACUGACAAGGGUCAAAGCAGAUUUAGAUGCUGCAAACAGCAAGAUACAGCUAAAAGAGAAACUAGCCGCCAGUGCAAUGGCAGCGCAAGCUGCUGCAGAUGCAUGCCUUAAGCUUGCUGACAGUAGAUCUGCUGGUUUACAACAGAGAAUAGAAGAGUUGACAAGGCAGAUAGAGCAAGAAGAUACACAUGCAAGAAAAGGGAGAGACAGUGCUCGAAGAAGAAUAAGAUACGCCUGCUGGCCAUGGCAGCGACUUCAAGUCAUAUCAGCAUCCUCUCGUGCUAGGACAUGGUUUGUUGAUCAGAACGGAAGAUUGUUACCAAGGACAGAAGCACUACUUCAGAUAAGGAUCUGA
rnacentral:rRNA from 1 species